UUCCUUGUAGUUUAGUGGCAGAGUACUGGUGUGUAAAACCAGGGGUCAGGGUCCAAUCCCCAGCAAGGAAG
rnacentral:tRNA from 1 species